AACUUUCAACAACGGAUCUCUUGGCUCUCGCAUCGAUGAAGAACGCAGCGAAAUGCGAUAAGUAAUGUGAAUUGCAGAAUUCAGUGAAUCAUCGAAUCUUUGAACGCACCUUGCGCUCCUUGGUAUUCCAAGGAGCAUGCCUGUUUGAGUGUC
rnacentral:rRNA from 1 species